rnacentral:RNase_P_RNA from 1 species
AGUGAAAUGGUGAGGUAAGAGCUCACCGCACAACCAGUAAUGGUUGUGGCAUUGCAAGCCCCGCUUAGAGCAAGACCAAAUAGGGAGAUUGGCCUGAUCCGAGCCUAUAAUCUCCGGGUAGGUCGCUUAGAUAAAUGACCUCCAAAGGAUUUAUUCCUUUACAGAACCUGGCUUAUAGCCUGCUUGCCUUA